UACGUAGGGGCGUAGCGUUGUCCGGAAUCAUUGGGCGUAAAGAGCGUGUAGGCGGUCCGGUAAGUCCGCUGUGAAAGUCGGGGGGCUCAACCUCGAAUGCCGGUGGAUACUGUCGGGCUAGAGUACGGAAGAGGCGAGUGGAAUUCCGUGGUGUAGCGGUGAAAUGCGCAGAUAUCAGGAGGACACCAAGUAGCGAAGGCAGACUCGCUGGGACGGUACUGCGCUAAGGCGGCGAAAGCGUGGGGAGCAACAGGA
rnacentral:rRNA from 1 species